UACGAAGGGGGCUAGCGUUGCUCGGAAUCACUGGGCGUAAAGCGCACGUAGGCGGAUUGCUAAGUCAGGGGUGAAAUCCUGGAGCUCAACUCCAGAACUGCCUUUGAUACUGGCGACCUUGAGUCCGGGAGAGGUGAGUGGAACUGGCGAGUGUAGAGGUGAAAUUCGUAGAUAUUCGCAAGAACACCAGUGGCGAAGGCGGACUCACUGGCCCGGUACUGACGCUGAGGUGCG
rnacentral:rRNA from 1 species